UAGGCAGAAGCCAACGGGUGCUGGCGUCUAGCUGUUAACUAGAAUUGUAUGGGAUCGAGGCCCAUCUGCCUAG
rnacentral:tRNA from 1 species